rnacentral:tRNA from 1 species
CAAAAAGUAGUUUAACAAAAACUUUGGCUUUGGGAGCUAACAUUCAAAUAAAAUUUGCUUUUUGA